UCUUCGGAUUAAAGUAUGGGACCUUCGGGCCAUAUGCCAUAAGAUGAGCCCAAGUGAGAUUAGGUAGUUGGUGGGUAAAAGCUCACCAAGCUGACGAUCUCUAGCUGGUUUGAGAGGAUGACCAGCCACACUGGAACGAACACGGUCCAGACUCCUACGGGAGGCAGCAGUGGGGAGUAUUGCACAAUGGGCGCAAGCCUGAUGCAGCCAUGCCGCGUGAAUGAAGAAGGCUUUCGGGUUGUAAAGUUCUUUCAGCGAUGAGGAAGGUGCUAUAUCUAAUAGGUGUAGCAAUUGACGUUAGUCGCAGAAGAAAGCACCGGCUAACUUCCGUGCCAGCAGCCGCGGUAAUACGGAGGGUGCGAGCGUUUAAUCGGAAUAACUUGGGCGUAAAGGGCACGCAGGCGGUUUGUCUAAGUUCAGAUGUGAAAGCCCCCGAGCUUAAACUUUGGGAAUUUGCAUUUUGAGACUGGGCGAACUAGAGUCCUCUAGGGAGGGGUAGAAAUUUCCACGUGUAGCGGUGAAAUGUGUAGAGAUGUGGAGGAAAUACCGAAAGGCGAAGGCAGCCCCUUGGAGAGAGACUGACGCUGAGGUGCGAAAGCGUGGGUAGCAAACAGGAUUAGAUACCCUGGUAGUCCACGCUGUAAACGAUGUCGAUUUUGGGGGUUGGGCUUUAAGCUUGGCGCCCGUAGCUAACGUGAUAAAUCGACCGCCCUGGGGGAGUACGGGCCGCAAGGUUAAAACUCAAAUGAAUUGACGGGGGCCCGCACAAGCGGUUGGGAGACAUGUGGUUUAAUUCGAUGCAACGCGAAGAACCUUACCUACUCUUGACAUCCAAAGAAGCUUUCAGAGAUGAGAGUGUGCCUUCGGGAACUUUGAGACAGGUGCUGCAUGGCUGUCGUCAGCUCGUGUUGUGAAAUGUUGGGUUAAGUCCCGCAACGAGCGCAACCCUUAUCCUUUGUUGCUAGCAGGUGAUGCUGAGAACUCAAAGGAGACUGCCAGUGAUAAACUGGAGGAAGGUGGGGACGACGUCAAGUCAUCAUGGCCCUUACGAGUAGGGCUACACACGUGCUACAAUGGCGUAUACAGAGGGCGGCGAACCUGCGAGGGUGAGCGAAUCUCAGAAAGUACGUCUAAGUCCGGAUUGGAGUCUGCAACUCGACUCCAUGAACUCGGAAUCGCUAGUAAUCGCGAAAUCAGAAAUGUCGCGGUGAAUACGUUCCCGGGCCC
rnacentral:rRNA from 1 species